CCUUCUCUGUGACUCUCAGACACUGGAUCAGCUGACUACAGCCAAGACAUCAUCCUGCCACAGACCAGUCAUCACAGCACCAUCCUGACUGUUGAUCAACAGCAGAGUCAUCAGUGCUGGACCACACAGAGACCCUGUUCCUCCUCAGUGCUCAGGCUUCCUCACAACAGAGCAGAAGGUCUUCCUUCACUGUGAUUCUCCACUUCACAGUAGAGACCACUGCACAGCUCCACAAGCUAGUGAACUAUGUGAGAUGGCACUGUGUGCUUCCUCUCUGCAACAUCAAGCUCGUCCUCCAACACGUGUUAAAGGUCUCUGCACCUCUGUGUCCUCCAUGUUCACUGACACUGACCAGAUGACUGAAAGCAGAAGCUCUACAGCCACUGGAAAGGUCAAAGGUCAGUCCAUCUUCAUGCUGACACUGUGCUCUGUUGACAGUUUUGGUUUGUGCCAACAACUGACUGAAGAGCAUCAUG